CCCUAUAUGGAAUGGAACGCACACAUGAAGUCUCUAUGACCACCACAGACAGGAAGUGAUGUCAGGUAUACAUAGGAAUUUCCGGGUGAGAGGUGAGUCGGGAAGAAGUAGUGAGGAGACGUUGCUGGGGCCGAUGAGGAGGAAUCAGAUCUAAUCUUGGAGCCCAUCACUACAAGCCCUACGUACUGUACGUCUAUAUCAUUGUUAUACGGAUCUACCAGCACCAGGAACCAAUUUACAGAGCGUCAGGAACGUGAAAACGUCAUAAAGAAGACUCGUCUGACUCUGCCCUACUAGUGUGUGGGUACAUGGGAGAGACCACCGCGUGACAUCACUACAAGCCCUACGUACUGUACGUCUAUAUCAUUGUUAUACGGAUCUACCAGCACCAGGAACCAAUUUACUGAGCGUCAGGAACGUGAAAACGUCAUAAAGAAGACUCGUCUGCCCUACUAGUGUGUGGGUACAUGGGAGAGACCACCGCGUGACAUCACUACGUACGUUCCAACGUGUCACCCAUCACUGUUUCACGUCAACCAUCGGACGCACUUACCGCUCAAGCUCUGCUUUGUGGUUCCUGGACUUCCGAACGAGGCUGGUAGUAAUAAUCCUUUCACGCGAUGGAGAUGAUGUAACGGGGAAUAGGAGAGUCCUGGCUUGGAAGACUUCAUAGAGCUUACACAACCAUUUUAUCUUCUCUUUGAUAAUCAGAAUACGGACCACGGUCAUCACUUCCACGGGUGUCUUUUCUGGAGUAUACCGAUUCCUGGAGAUGAUCAAAUUGAUGUAAAAUUUUCAGUUUUUGAGCCAUCUAUGAAGAGGAGUGUCCUGUACAGAUCACAUGACCACCACAAUCAGGAUGGAGGAAGACUGGAGUCAAAGUAUGGAGAAGAUAUUAAACCUCACCCUGGAGAACAUAUACCAGCUGACCGGAAAGGAUUAUGUUGUAGUGAAGAAGUCUAGUGGGGAGCCAAUCUCAGGAGGGCGGAGCCGGACCCAGAGCCCCACCAUGGUGCCGCCCCCUCCUUCUCCCAUACCUGAGCAGAAGAUCCUGGAACUGAUCACCAUGAUGGUCCAACUGCUGACAGGAGAGGUUCCUAUAAGGUGUCAGGAUGUCACUGUCUAUUUCUCCAU